rnacentral:rRNA from 1 species
AACGAACGCUGGCGGCGUGGAUAAGACAUGCAAGUCGAACGGGAUAUUUUUGUAGCAAUACCGGAAUAUUCAGUGGCGAACGGGUGCGUAACACGUGGGUAACAUGCCGGGAAGAGGAGAAUAGCCCAGGGAAACUUGGAUUAAUGCUCCAUGUGGUCGCAAGACUAAAGACGGGGUAACCUGUCGCUUCCUGAUUGGCCCGCGGCCUAUCAGCUAGUUGGCGAGGUAACGGCUCACCAAGGCAACGACGGGUAGCUGGUCUGAGAGGAUGACCAGCCACACUGGAACUGAGACACGGUCCAGACACCUACGGGUGGCAGCAGUCGAGAAUCUUUCACAAUGGGGGCAACCCUGAUGGAGCGACGCCGCGUGGAGGAUAAGGUCUUCGGAUUGUAAACUCCUGUCAUGCGAGAGUAAGGCCCCGCGUUAACUGCGUGUGGGAUUGACAGUACCGCAAGAGGAAGAGACGGCUAACUCUGUGCCAGCCGCCGCAGUAAAAC